GAUGAACGCUGGCGGCGUGCCUAAUACAUGCAAGUCGAGCGAACGGACGAGAAGCUUGCUUCUCUGAUGUUAGCGGCGGACGGGUGAGUAACACGUGGAUAACCUACCUAUAAGACUGGGAUAACUUCGGGAAACCGGAGCUAAUACCGGAUAAUAUUUUGAACCGCAUGGUUCAAAAGUGAAAGACGGUCUUGCUGUCACUUAUAGAUGGAUCCGCGCUGCAUUAGCUAGUUGGUAAGGUAACGGCUUACCAAGGCAACGAUGCAUAGCCGACCUGAGAGGGUGAUCGGCCACACGGGAGCGGAGACACGGACCAGACUCCUACGGGAGGCAGCAGUAGGGAAUCUUCGGCAAGGGGCGAAAGCCUGACGGAGCAACGCCGCGUGAGUGAUGAAGGUCUUCGGAGCGUAAAACUCUGUUAUUAGGGAAGAACAUAUGUGUAAGUAACUGUGCACAUCUUGACGGUACCUAAUCAGAAAGCCACGGCUAACUACGUG
rnacentral:rRNA from 1 species